AGAUGCAUAAAAACACUUGAGCCUCAUUGACUGGUUGGCUAUCUCAUUCCAGAAGAGCAAUCAAGACAUUUAAAGCUGAAAUGUGGUGUCCAAGUAACUCCAAAACACUUCCUUUUUUUUUCAAUCUUUAAACGAGGGCGUACAUGCCUAGCUCAAAUUCAGAAUUAGAAUUGCGUCUCUGUUUCAUAGCAGGCAAGAUUUUAGCAUCUAAUAUGCUCUCAUAUUCACAAGAAAGAAGAAAUCUGGUCCUGCUUUGUAUGCUUUAAUUAUCUUUGGAUACAGAGAAAGUGAUUUCCAGUGGCACAACUAUGCUUUUAGACAACAGGCCGUAUUUAUUAUUUUUCAAUUUCAAAUAGAAACAGAUGUUUUCUGCCUCCUGAUACCAUCCAGAUGCUCUGGGAAUACAGCAAGAACCAGCCUACAUCAUUAAUUGCUUGAUUGCCUUGGAAUUCUGGAAAUUUUACUCUGUAUACCUCCAGAAGAUGCCAGAUUGGGAAGGAUUACCCUCGGAUAAACCAACUGUGAAAAUUAAAACAUACGAAACAUUUUGAAGGCUUAUCCACAGGAGGCACAUUUUUCACGGAAACUGACUGGUCAUGGAUAUAACAUGUGAAAAGUUUAGCGUCAUCUACUUUGUCUUCAAUUUUGGCAAACAACAGAAUGCAUUUUUCAUAUGUAAGAUUUCUUACCAUUUUUAAAAGUAGUUAUAAAUAUUACCAGUACUAUCACUAUUUAUCAAGUUUCACAAAAUUCUGUUGAGUAUGGAAAAACUUUUUGAAUGUUCAGGUAGCUCAUAAAAUUUGUCAUUGAAAUUGGAAGAAAUUGAAAAGAAAAUGUAAGUCCUAUUUAAAUAAUACCUUCUUGCUUAGAGGUAUUGAACUUUCCUGUUUUGUGAA